rnacentral:rRNA from 1 species
CAUGCAAGUCGUACGCACUGGCCCAACUGAUUGAUGGUGCUUGCACCUGAUUGACGAUGGAUCACCAGUGAGUGGCGGACGGGUGAGUAACACGUAGGUAACCUGCCCCGGAGCGGGGGAUAACAUUUGGAAACAGAUGCUAAUACCGCAUAACAACAAAAGCCACAUGGCUUUUGUUUGAAAGAUGGCUUUGGCUAUCACUCUGGGAUGGACCUGCGGUGCAUUAGCUAGUUGGUAAGGUAACGGCUUACCAAGGCGAUGAUGCAUAGCCGAGUUGAGAGACUGAUCGGCCACAAUGGAACUGAGACACGGUCCAUACUCCUACGGGAGGCAGCAGUAGGGAAUCUUCCACAAUGGGCGCAAGCCUGAUGGAGCAACACCGCGUGAGUGAAGAAGGGUUUCGGCUCGUAAAGCUCUGUUGUUGGAGAAGAACGUGCGUGAGAGUAACUGUUCACGCAGUGACGGUAUCCAACCAGAAAGUCACGGCUAACUACGUGCCAGCAGCCGCGGUAAUACGUAGGUGGCAAGCGUUAUCCGGAUUUAUUGGGCGUAAAGCGAGCGCAGGCGGUUGCUUAGUCUGAUGUGAAAGCCUUCGGCUUAACCGAAGAAGUGCAUCGGAAACCGGGCGACUUGAGUGCAGAAGAGGACAGUGGAACUCCAUGUGUAGCGGUGGAAUGCGUAGAUAUAUGGAAGAACACCAGUGGCGAAGGCGGCUGUCUGGUCUGCAACUGACGCUGAGGCUCGAAAGCAUGGGUAGCGAACAGGAUUAGAUACCCUGGUAGUCCAUGCCGUAAACGAUGAGUGCUAGGUGUUGGAGGGUUUCCGCCCUUCAGUGCCGGAGCUAACGCAUUAAGCACUCCGCCUGGGGAGUACGACCGCAAGGUUGAAACUCAAAGGAAUUGACGGGGGCCCGCACAAGCGGUGGAGCAUGUGGUUUAAUUCGAAGCUACGCGAAGAACCUUACCAGGUCUUGACAUCUUGCGCUAACCUUAGAGAUAAGGCGUUCCCUUCGGGGACGCAAUGACAGGUGGUGCAUGGUCGUCGUCAGCUCGUGUCGUGAGAUGUUGGGUUAAGUCCCGCAACGAGCGCAACCCUUGUUACUAGUUGCCAGCAUUAAGUUGGGCACUCUAGUGAGACUGCCGGUGACAAACCGGAGGAAGGUGGGGACGACGUCAGAUCAUCAUGCCCCUUAUGACCUGGGCUACACACGUGCUACAAUGGACGGUACAACGAGUCGCAAGCUCGCGAGAGUAAGCUAAUCUCUUAAAGCCGUUCUCAGUUCGGACUGUAGGCUGCAACUCGCCUACACGAAGUCGGAAUCGCUAGUAAUCGCGGAUCAGCAUGCCGCGGUGAAUACGUUCCCGGGCCUUGUACACACCGCCCGUCACACCAUGGGAGUUUGAACGCCCAAAGUCGGUGGCCUAACCUUUAUGGAGGGAGCCGCCUAAGGCGGGACAGAUGACUGGGGUGAAGUC